AAGUCGUAACAAGGUAACCGUAGGUGAACCUGCGGUUGGAUCAUUAACAAAUUGAAAGAACUUGCUUUCGAGCAUUUUCUCAACAUUUAUGUGAACUAUUACUGUCUCUUGGGUAGUUUAAGUUGACUUUUCUUUAUUGAGAAGCUGGCACUCUACCCAACUUUAAAUUUGAACUUUUUUAUGAAUUAAUAAAUCGUCUUGAAUUAAAUUAUAUUCUAAUUUAAACAACUUUUGACAACGGAUCUCUAGGCUCUU
rnacentral:misc_RNA from 1 species